rnacentral:lncRNA from 1 species
ACAUAUAUCCUGGAAGCUAACCCUAAAAUCAUUCCCCACUCUCUCAUCUCCACAGCCGCCGGUGAACACGCCACUCCUUUCCUUCCACAACCCGUUGCUAGCUGAUGGCGCUUGGGAAGAAGGCGCUGGGUAGCAAGAAGAUGCCUUCCCACCCUACGGUUCUUCCACCAGAUCCUGUGGCAAGACCCCCCUCCCACGAGCAAGAUGAUGGCGCCACGGAAGAAGACUCUCGAUAGCAGGAACACGCCUCCCCCCUUCUAAGGUCCUUCCAGAUCACGCGGCCACUAUGGAGAUCCUAGGUCCUUCCAGAUCACGCGGCCGCUAUGGAGAUCCU